rnacentral:rRNA from 1 species
CUGCUGCCUUCCGUAGGAGUUUGGGCCGUGUCUCAGUCCCAAUGUGGCCGUUCACCCUCUCAGGCCGGCUACUGAUCGUUGCCUUGGUAGGCCAUUACCCCACCAACUAGCUAAUCAGACGCGGAACCCAUCGUAUACCACCAGAGUUUUUCACACCGCUUCAUGCGAAGCUGUGCGCUUAUGCGGUAUUAGCACCUAUUUCUAAGUGUUAUCCCCCAGUAUACGGCAGGUUUUCCACGCGUUACUCACCCGUCCG